CUUCGCCGAGCCGAGCCACAGCGGCUGUCCGUCCGGUCGCCCCUGACCGUAGGUGGCGAGGAUCGCGCGCGCCUC
rnacentral:antisense_RNA from 1 species